UGGCACCUGGCUCAGGUGGACAUCACAACAACUGGACCUUUCCAGAUCAUCAUUGAGGGGCGCAGAGGCUCAAAUGAAAAGUCCGAUGUUGCAAUUGAUGAUAUAAAGCUUUAUCCUGGUCGAUGCUCUGCUCCAGAGCCUCCUCUGGUCAACGUUACUACUCAGCUACCUGAUACAGCUCCGCCCCCUGUAGCAAAUGCCACCAUACCUCCCAUAGUGGAAGCAACAACCAAUUUCGUCAAUAAGGACAAUGUUACUGAAGCUGCUGAUAACGGACAACCACCAC